AUAACCAAUGAUGAAUGAAGUCAAACUGUUCUCAUAUAAACUAUGAGCUGUUUACGUAAGCUCUCCCAAACGGUCUCACAACUUCACAAGUGUCUAUGCCAAAUUGCCAAUAGAUAAACUCAAAUAAGUCAAUUCAAACAGACUCUAAACAUAUAAGUGCCUGUUAUGAAAUCCAGUGCUGCUGCCGGAUGUUCGACCACCGCUACAAAGUGUAGCUUUUAGGUAAACGUGAAUUCUCAGUUCUCAC
rnacentral:lncRNA from 1 species